GUGGUUUCAAAGGAUUUUCACAGACCCUCUUUAAAGAUCCUGGACAGUGGGAAACUGAUACAUUAAUCUCUAGUCAUGACAAGAAAACUUGAUGUAAUUCUGAAAUUUAUCAUAAAUCAUGUGAUCACAAGGCUAUUUUAGAAGCUGAGGCUAUCAUCUGAAUCUUCAAUUAAGUUUUAACAGAAUUUCUUCCUCAUCAUACUUUGACUAUGAAUGCUGCAGUGUCUGGAAGACUGAGGAAGAAAAGAAUUGUCUAAAAUAGGUGUUCAUCAGGCAGACUAUAAAUAUGGAGUUCUAACACUUUGACAGGCUCUAAUACUUUUGAGGUAUCUUUCUCAUUAAAGAAAAUGAUAAAACCUAUGUUAUAGUGAAUUGUCUGCAUAUUUUAUAACUCUUUAUAUAGAUCUGAACAGAGCCAAGUAAACAAUUAGUAAAUUCUGAAAUUUCCC
rnacentral:lncRNA from 1 species